rnacentral:rRNA from 1 species
ACUCCUACGGGAGGCAGCAGUAGGGAAUCUUCCGCAAUGGACGCAAGUCUGACGGAGCAACGCCGCGUGUGUGAAGAAGGUUUUCGGAUCGUAAAGCACUGUUAUUAGAGAAGAACAGCCGAUAGAGUAACUGUUAUCGGUUUGACGGUAUCUAACCAGAAAGUGACGGCUAACUACGUGCCAGCAGCCGCGGUAAUACGUAGGUCACAAGCGUUGUCCGGAUUUAUUGGGCGUAAAGGGAGCGCAGGCGGUUUGUUAAGUCUGAUGUGAAAGCCCACGGCUCAACCGUGGAACGGCAUUGGAAACUGGCAAACUUGAGUAUAGAAGAGGAAAGUGGAAUUCCAUGUGUAGCGGUGAAAUGCGUAGAUAUAUGGAGGAACGCCAGUGGCGAAGGCGACUUUCUGGUCUAUAACUGACGCUGAGGCUCGAAAGCGUGGGGAGCGAACAGGAUUAGAUACCCUGGUAGUCCACGCCGUAAACGAUGAGUGUUAAGUGUUGGGGGGCUUCCACCCCUCAGUGCUGGCGUUAACGCAAUAAACACUCCGCCUGGGGAGUACGACCGCAAGGUUGAAACUUAAAGGAAUUGACGG